rnacentral:siRNA from 1 species
CUUAUUCCAUGGCCUAAUUAU